CGUGGGUCACCAUUGCAGACUCAUCAUCCAUUAUAUCUGGGGGUAUCUCCACUUCCAUGUAGCCUUUCUGAAAAUAUAGCGAGAGAAACUGGGUGCCAGUGGCCUCCUUCUGCGACCAUGGAAUCUUUAUGCAGAGAUAGGUAAAGAAAACGUCGCGGCCCUGGACCACGGUGUGAUUCUCCAAGGGGGCUAGGAACUCUGGAAGUAUCUCCGGAGUUAUUUGACCUGAAAGAGAAUUCGUUAGAAAAUAGUUCCUGCCCCCAUGUGCAUGAAUAAGCAGCGCUGUCGAUUAGAUAUUCAAGUUUUCUAUGGAGCUGAAUUCCAGCCUGCCUUCCAUCGAUUCACUAUGGAAGAGACAGAGGUAAAAAUGCAAAAGGAGAAGAGGAGAGGAGAGGAGAGGAGAGGCGGUGCCGAUUCACCCAUAUUCUCGUAUCGAAUUCUUGUACGCGUUCAUGCAAGAAAGACGAUAAAUGGAAAAUUCUCGAGUCGUGUAGUCGUAAUCCAGGCUUCGAAAUCACGUUUUCAUGGCUGAAUUUUGUCAUCGGUAUGCUCUUAUUCGCAUGGCGACAUCUCAUGGCCCCCAGGAUGCCAUUGCUAGGAUGCUCUUUCGCUAAACAAUUUGAAUUCUAAUCAAAAUAGGAACAAGCAAACAAAUGGAAUCGUUAGAUCAAUCCAUCGGAUGAUUGUUCUUUCUCCAAAGUGGAGUCUCUUUGCAGCCGAAGAAGAGACUAGAAUGAAAUUUCCUACUGGCUACGAUUCAGAAUGCUUCUCUCAGCUAAUAAUCUUCUUAAAUAUCGUUGCACGUUAAUGUGCAACGUGCAUUGCUCCCUAUAUGUAUACUGUACCGCGUAUACUCUACUGCGUAUCAUUUGGAUGGUGGAGUUUGAAGAAAACCGUGUAAAACGAGAUUUGCCAUCCUGAUCGAGUUGCCGCUGGGAAAAGAAUUUUCCGUGAAAGUUGACGCGUUCAACGGCACCUUUGGUGUCUUCACUUUUCGCCUGCCUCCCAACGUCCGGGGUGCUUUCGGAGAAAUCAACGAAUCUGCGAGGAACAGGAGGAGGAGCAGGAAGAGGAAGAGGAGGAGGAGGGUAGACGAAAAUCAAUCAGUUUACGUAACAUUGCUCCGACUGAUUACCACUUAUUCCACGAGACGGUGAAUUCCCCGCGAAGAAAGCAUCGAGGUGUGCAACGAGGUUCUCUUCCGAUCUCGACCACUUUCUAUGCUGGGGGAGUGGCAAUCGAUCGGGGAGGAGGGCUGCAACGGGAAUCAAGGCAGUUUGCUGUAGGAGAGAACAACAACGCCGAUGAGAAGAAACCGAGGAAAAGAAGAGAAAAGAAGAAAAGAAAAAAAGAAAAAAAGAAAGAAAUAAGUAAAGAAAAGGAGCGGAGAAGAGAAAGAAGAUGAGGAAGGA